UUAGGUAGUUGGAGAGGUAAUGGCUCCCCAAGCCGACGAUCGGUAGCCGGACUGAGAGGUCGAUCGGCCACAUUGGGACUGAGACACGGCCCAGACUCCUACGGGAGGCAGCAGUGGGGAAUAUUGGGCAAUGGGCGGAAGCCUGACCCAGCGACGCCGCGUGAAGGAGGAAGGCUUUCGAGUUGUAAACUUCUUUGGGGAGGGACGAAGAUGACGGUACCUCCAGAACAAGCCACGGCUAACUACGUGCCAGCAGCCGCGGUAAUACGUAGGUGGCGAGCGUUGUCCGGAAUUAUUGGGCGUAAAGGGUGCGUAGGCGGCCUUUUAAGUCAGAUGUGAAAGACCACGGCUUAACCGUGGGGUUGCAUUUGAAACUGGAGGGCUUGAGUAUCGGAGAGGGUAGUGGAAUUCCCAGUGUAGCGGUGGAAUGCGUAGAUAUUGGGAGGAACACCAGUGGCGAAGGCGACUACCUGGACGAAAACUGACGCUGAGGCACGAAAGCUAGGGGAGCAAACAGGAUUAGAUACCCUGGUAGUCCUAGCCGUAAACGAUGGGUACUAGGUGUAGGAGGUUUCGAUACCUUCUGUGCCGCAGUUAAC
rnacentral:rRNA from 1 species